GCUGUGGCUCAGGGGCAGAACAUCUGCUUGCCAUGUAGAAGGCCUCAGGUUCAAUCCCCGGCAUCUCCA
rnacentral:tRNA from 1 species